rnacentral:rRNA from 1 species
UACGUAGGGUCCGAGCGUUGUCCGGAAUUAUUGGGCGUAAAGAGCUCGUAGGCGGCUUGUCACGUCGGUUGUGAAAGCCCGGGGCUUAACCCCGGGUCUGCAGUCGAUACGGGCAGGCUAGAGUGUGGUAGGGGAGAUCGGAAUUCCUGGUGUAGCGGUGAAAUGCGCAGAUAUCAGGAGGAACACCGGUGGCGAAGGCGGAUCUCUGGGCCAUUACUGACGCUGAGGAGCGAAAGCGUGGGGAGCGAACAGG